rnacentral:tRNA from 1 species
GGCCCGGUAGCUUAGUUGGUUAGAGCGUCGUGCUACUGACGCAAAUGUCAUGGUUUCGGUCCCCAUCCGGGCCG